CAAGGAGUUCAAAGUCUGAUCUGAAGUCCUGCUGUCCCAUUGCCGGUACCAGCAGGUUCUGUUCAGAUGCGAUGGCUUGGGAUGGUGUGGCCAGUCCUGUUUCGAUUGAUUGCCUUGUCUUGAAAAGGAAGUUUUGAACUGCAGCCGUAAAAGAUGUCUACCUGGUUUUGGAUGUGAGUUAUGGGCAUCUGAGACCCAAUUGUCAACAGCGAGGUAAUGCUCUGUAGUUCCAAAUGUCUCCUAGGGGUCAGGCUGUCAUUUUAGUAAGUCACGUUUCUGCUGUAGCUGUGCCCAAAGUAGCUGGAGGUUUUUAGAAAGAUGUUUUUAGGAGUCAAGAGAUAAUCCCAUAGACGGUAUGUCUGCUUUGUGUAACGCUCAGCUGUGUGUUUGUGUUGUAUCAGUUCUCAGAACAGCAGGUGGGAAUAGGAGGACGCAUAAUGGAAGUAAAAUGAGACCAUGAGGUUUUUUUUCUUACAUAGACAUGAGAGCUUAUUUCUCGAAGUUAAAAUCUGACAAGCAACUCCUGUACCUGUCCUUAAUUAUAUACCAGCCUGAAUUCACAAAACUCAGCUCUUCAAUUCUCUGGUCUCUGUAGCUGGCUUUAUCUGGCCCAAACCUCCCAUUUCUCCUAUUGAAAAUACCCCCAUUAAAUGCAGAGGGGGCGGAGGAGAUGCUGCAGAUAACCUCUGGGUGAGGCAUUGCUUGGUCCUGGUGUGGGUGUUCCUUCUUCGUGGCACCCGUGAGGACCAGCAGUGCCUCCUCUGGGCUAAACCCAGGAGAUGGGCCACAAGAGGCAGGAAGGAUGAGAUCUGAAUGGGGUCUGUCUCAGAGCUCCCCUGGAGGCACAGCCAAUAUCCCCAUCUGAUCUGUUCCUUUGGACCAUGCAGUGGCAAGAAGGGCUGGAACAGGGACAGAUUGGACCCAACUAAAGAGACAGAGAUCCUAAAGAUAUGACUAAAAAAGGCAAGAGAGCAGAACUAUGAAGAGUAAGGAGGACAACGUGGGUCCACAGGAUACAAACCUGUAUUGAAUCAGUUUCCUUCACUCCUACAGAGUGGGGAACUUUGAUUCUUCGAUGCCAAUCAGGGUAAAAUUGGUCCCACCUAGCAAUGUGUAAAUGCUGAAUGUUCUGCUCAUCUUUCUCCCAGUGUUUUGUCUUUUUUGAAGGGAAUGUGGUGGAAUUAGGCUCAAAGAUUGAUUCAAGUGCCAGAGAACCCUGCAGAAGAACAAGUAUUCAGAAGAACAGCCAUUUUCUGUAAGUGGACUUAAUCAAGCACAGAUAAUGGGGAGUUAGACCAUCUUUGAAAAC
rnacentral:lncRNA from 1 species